GCCAAUGGAAGACCACCCCAUGUACACCACCAGAACAGGGUGCGCUCCGUGGGAAACUGUGGGCAAGUUUCCAUUGAUUGGUUUCAGUUUCUAUAAACAGAGUCCCAAGGGCUCAACCUGUGUCACGUCUUGCCAUGUUUUAGAUUCACUUUAAACUCAUGUUUCUAGAAAAGGCCACUGAGAAGCAGCUUGAACUUUUGUUAUCAGAUGUUUACAUACAUGGGUUGUAAUCUCAAAGGAAAUAACUGGAAGCCACAGAUCUAAAGAGGGAAUCUGGAGGGUGGGGGCCUCCAGGACCUGCUCUGGCCAUACACUUCAAAGUCACCCAGAAGAGAAAGGCAGGGGCUGUCUCUGCAGAGCUGGCCUUGCCUCUUGGCCCAGAUAUAUAAGGAGCAGGGGCCCAGCUUGGGAACAAAGGACUAGCAAAGAAGAUGCUGGGUAACAAGACUGUCACUUUGUUUUUCCACACAAAUGAUCGCAUUCUACCUGAAAUCCUCUUGGAAUGAGCAGUGGAGUUUGGGAGCAGGUACUGAAUGAAUAAAUUAACAAACCAUUGAAUAAUUAGUUAAUUAGUGACAACCCAGGCUGAGAGAAAUGAGCAGAAGGGGUGACUAUGGCCUCUCUGAGGAGGGAAAGUGGCUAUUUUAUAUUCCCACGUAGAGAGAGAGGACUGCUUUCUGAGCUCUGGUUUUCUGGAGAUAAUAAUCAGGAGUGUUGUGUAUGUGCUUUGCAAUUCUAAAGUGCCACACAAUAUUAUUUACAUCAUUCUGCUUUUCUCCUUGAUGAGCUGUUUAAAAAAUGGUAAUAUUAUAAUCCGGCAGAUUAAUCUUGUGUGAUAAAAACAAAGGCUCGCUUUUCAGAGUUCUCCAUCAUGCCAGCCAGUAUACCUGUCCCUGCACAAUGACUGUGUCUGUGUAGACUCUUGCUGAGCCCAAAGGAGCUUCAAGGGCAAGAGAGGUGGGUCCCACAGAUCAUCCAUGGAACAGGCACAGGCACACCACUAUGCUUAAGGCUACCCAAAGAAACACAAGAAGAUAAUUCUAAGAAAACAAAGGGACUUCUGGGGAAACUCAAGAUGACUUGUCUGGGGAGAGGAAAAAUCUGUAAGGUUCAUUGUACAGCUUCUUGAUGAAAAGAUGGCAUUGUCAUGGCCUGAGAUGCAGAAAGGAAGAGUGAGGAUUCCGGAAGGAAGACAUCCCUAAGAAUGAGAGGACAACCUGCAUGGCUGAGCUGUUUGAUUGACUGCAUUUCUUACUACAAUCUGUUGAAAGAAUAUGACAGGCUCCGAGAAAAGUGGGAGGAAGAAGGUGAGGCCUGGGCUCUGCCCUCUGCCCUCUGGAAACCCUUCAGGCAGGAUGGAAUCCCAGAAGCAUUCCAAACCUAUGGCAGGACAGGAUGGAUCAUCAAAAAGAGCAGAAGUGCCAGGGGAAGAGCAUCGCAGUGCUGGCAGGUCCUCCUUUUUUUUAAAUAUCUUUAUUUAUUUUCAUGUGGUGCUGAGGAUCGAACCCAGUGCCUCACAUGUGCAAGGCAGCACUCUGCCGCUGAGCUAUAACCCCAGCCCUUAACCCUACCUCUUAUGAAGCACACACGGUUUCUUCCAUGUUUGAUCAUGGUAACAAUGACGGAAGAAAAAUGUGUCUUAAAAUGAAGUGAAAUUGUAGAAAAUGGUGUGGCUUGAUCCUCACCUCAAGUAAUUUAAAUCAUAGGUAACUGGAUUUCAUUACAUGCACAUUACACUGACACCUGAUUCAUGAUGUAGAUCCUAAAGGCAGUAUUCUAGUCCUUCUCUUUCUUGAACAAUUUUGACAGUUUCGAUUCUGCCUCUUCACUCUGUCCCUUUUCGUCCAUUAUCAUGUCUUACAGUGCUUACCUAAUAACUAAAUGUCAAGUUGGGAGCUGGUAAUUACAUGCCCUGACCUGUUCUCCUACUCUCACUUCAUCUUUUUCUCAAUGAGCAUCUGGAGUACCAACAAUUUGAUUUCACCCAGGUGAGCUGUCUUGGAUGGCUCCUUGCUGCAGAACUUCUCAGAUGAAUGGUUUUCACAGGAAAAGCAAGUCUGUCUUCUCUCUCCACCCCCAUUUCUCUCUUUUUGUGGGGUUAGGGAAUCAGCCCCAGGAUGUCACAAAUACUAAGCAAGUACUCUACACUGAGCCUCAUCCCCAGUACUGUCAUUUGAUUUUUUAAAUUAAACUUUUUUUUUCUGAUUUAAACAGUCUUUACCCAACUUUCUAGACAAUGGCACAGAACAUAUUUUGUAUAUUAUGUGACAGGUGAAAAGUGCUUCCAAUGUAUAUAAAUCUAAUUUUAGUUUCCAGAUCUUUAACCUGUCUAACUUUCCAUUGCUUAACUGAGAUUCAUAGAGAUCUUCUUGCAAAAGGUAUUUAUUUUUUACUCAAAUUGGGAUUUAUACUGACUCCUGAGCAUAUAUAUUUUGGGGGAAUAUUUGUAAUGUGGUAGGAAGAGUGAAUUACUUAUGAAUUUUCUAACUGGUNU
rnacentral:lncRNA from 1 species